AUCCCAUGAUGUAGGCACUUUCUUAAUAAUUCCUUAAACCUCUCUCAUGUAUCAUAUAAAGUCUCUGACACCAAUUGGUAAAAGGAAGAGAUAUCAUUCCUCAUCUU